rnacentral:rRNA from 1 species
CUUGGCAUCGAGAGCCGAUGAAGGACGUGGGAGGCUGCGAUAUGCCUCGGGGAGCUGUCAACCGAGCGUGGAUCCGAGGAUUUCCGAAUGGGGAAACCCAGCACGAGUGAUGUCGUGCUACCCGCAUCUGAAUAUAUAGGGUGCGGGAGGGAACGCGGGGAAGUGAAACAUCUCAGUACCCGUAGGAGGAGAAAACAAUUGUGAUUCCGCAAGUAGUGGCGAGCGAACGCGGAACAGGCUA